GGGGAUUUAGCUCAGUGGUAGAGCGCUUGCCUGGCAAGCGCAAGGAUAGAGGCCCAGGGACUCUUCAUUCCACAUUGUUGGUGCUUGGUAGAGUCCUACAUCCUCA
rnacentral:tRNA from 1 species